ACCUGCCCAUUGGAAUCUAAAAGGCCGCGGUAUUAUGACCGUGCUAAGGUAGCAUAAUCAUUAGUCUUUUAAUUGGAGGCUGGUAUGAAUGGUUGGACAAGAAAUAAGCUGUCUUAAAUAAAAAUAUUGAAUUUAACUUUUAAGUGAAAAGGCUUAAAUUUUCUAAGGGGACGAUAAGACCCUAUAAAACUUUAUAUUUUAAAAUAAUAAUUAAUUUUUAUAUAGAAGAUUUAUUUUUAAAUAUUUUAUUGGGGUGAUAAAGAUAAAAUGUGAGAUAACUGUCUUUUUUUUUUACAAUUAAUAUUUGAGUAAAAGAUCUUAACAAAGGAAAUAAGAGAUUAAGUUACUUUAGGGAUAACAGCGUAAUUUUCUUUAAGAGUUCUUAUCGACAAGAAAGUUUGCGACCUCGAUGUUGAAUUAAAAGUUCUUUAUAGAGUAAAUAUUAUAAUAGAGGGUCUGUUCGACCCUUAAAAUUUUACGUG
rnacentral:rRNA from 1 species